AGCGGAGUACGUUGGACCCGGCUCCGCCCUACCCCACGGGGCCGCCUGGAGAGGUGCUGGGAGCUGGGUGGAGCUUAGAGGAAUUAAACUUUGGCCCUGCGCCUCGUCCAGCCUAGGUUCCACCCUUUUCUGGGAACAUCUUCACUUCAGGUCAGCUCCAAGGAGGCUAUCCUUGCCCAUCUUCCUAAAAUAGAGCUCUCAAAACCUGGCUGUUUUCCUUCAGAGCACUGGCCUCCAAUUGCUCCGGUAGAUUGCAAAUGACCUGCUUUCUUUCUGUUCCCGGGCGUUUGGACCCCUGUCUUGGACCGCUGUCGGAUAGUAAAUCCCAAGUAAGGUACCUGCCGUCGGCAGAUUUGAGCUUUCUUCUUGGACACCUAAUACCCAGAGUCCUCCAGGCUCCGGUAGAUUGCAAAUGACCUGCUUUCUUUCUGUUCCCGGGCGGCAUCGGACCCGUCGGAGAGUAAAUCCCAAGUAAGGUACCUGCCGUUGGCAGAUUUGAGCUUUCUUCUUGGACACCUAAUACCCACAGUCCUCCAGGCUCCGGUAGAUUGCAAAUGACCUGCUUUCUUUCUGUUCCCGGGUGGCAUCGACCCGUCGGAGAGUAAAUCCCAAGUAAGGUACCUGCCGUUGGCAGAUUUGAGCUUUCUUCUUGGACACCUAAUACCCACAGUCCUCCAGUAAAUCCCAAGCAAGGUACCUGCCGUCAGCAGAUUUGAGCUUUCUUCUUGGACACCUAAUACCCACAGUCCUCCAGGCUCCGGUAGAUUGCAAAUGACCUGCUUUCUUUCUGUUCCCGGGCUGCGUUCGGACCCCUGUCGGAUAGUAACUCCCAAGUAAGGUACCUGCCGUCGGCAGAUUGGAGCUUUCUUCUUGGAGACCUAAUACCCACAGUCCUCCAGGCUCCGGUAGAUUGCAAAUGACCUGCUUUCUUUCUGUUCCCGGGCUGCGUUCGGACCCCUGUCGGAGAGUAAAUCCGAAAAAAACAAACAAAGACAUGGAUUUACUGUGCAUAUUAGCAGAUCCAUACUGGAAAAUGCAUGGAGGUUUCAUAUACACCACUUACAGAUGCAGAAAGGCAGUGAACUCCUCCGGAGUAGCUGUCAGGUCACCAUUGAGGUCUGCAGCUUUGAAUCUUCUCUCAUCACGUGGCAGCAUCUUUUUAAAGGUGUGAUGAUCUGAAGAAUCAUGAAACUCUGCGGGGUUUCCUAGGUUUUCAGCUCCUCAGUAGUGACAAAGCCAUACCCAUCAUUGUCGAUUCGAUCAACAAUCUUCCCUAGCCUCUCCUUGCUCUCGUCCGGGGUGAGCUCGUCGAAGUUCUUGGAGUCCUCCUUGCCCAGGAAGGCCUCGUGGUCGUACUGGAAGCUCUGGUUGUCCUCAGGGGGCCGCUCGCCCAGCUCCGAGUCGGGCCGCACCACGCGCUCUUUGCGCACCGUGGGCUUGGCCCGCAGAACCCGCGGCGCCAGCACCAGCGCCAGCAGCAGCCCCAGGGCUAACCCCAGGCGGCCACCGCGCGCCAUCGUCCCGAGGAGAGGGCGGCCGGGAGGGAGACGCUGAGCGAGCGACAACAGCGGCAGCUCGGGAAUGGGGGCUCGGAGCGCGGCGGCCAAGUUUUAUGUUAUGUAUAUUUUACAAGUAAAAAAAUUUUUUCACCUCAGCCUGAACUG
rnacentral:lncRNA from 10 species